UUUCAACCUUUGUGUUUCAACCCCCUUGUGUGUGUUUUGGUUCGGAUGCUGAUGUAAGUCCAGUGAUUGGCAUUCGGGCUCCACGUUUGCCUUUGCCUGUGUUUGUUUGUGUGCGUGUCAGCCGAGCUACGAAUGCUCUGAUUCUCCUUCGUCCAAAGGAGAUACGUAUGCAUAGGAUGCGACAUCCUAGCGAGCAUGUGUCGUUUCCCCCAGUCCGAACUACUUUGAC
rnacentral:lncRNA from 1 species